GGGUUGUGAGGUUAAGCGACUAAGCGUACACGGUGGAUGCCCUGGCAGUCAGAGGCGAUGAAGGGCGUGCUAAUCUGCGAUAAGCGCCGGUAAGGUGAUAUGAACCGUUAUAACCGGCGAUACCCGAAUGGGGAAACCCAGUGUGACUCGUCACACUAUCAUUAACUGAAUCCAUAGGUUAAUGAGGCGAACCGGGGGAACUGAAACAUCUAAGUACCCCGAGGAAAAGAAAUCAACCGAGAUUCCCCCAGUAGCGGCGAGCGAACGGGGAGGAGCCCAGAGCCUGAAUCAGCAUGUGUGUUAGUGGAAGCGUCUGGAAAGGCGCGCGAUACAGGGUGACAGCCCCGUACACAAAAGCGCAUGUGCUGUGAGCUCGAUGAGUAGGGCGGGACACGUGGUAUCCUGUCUGAAUAUGGGGGGACCAUCCUCCAAGGCUAAAUACUCCUGACUGACCGAUAGUGAACCAGUACCGUGAGGGAAAGGCGAAAAGAACCCCGGCGAGGGGAGUGAAAAAGAACCUGAAACCGUGUACGUACAAGCAGUGGGAGCACAGGUUUACCUGUGUGACUGCGUACCUUUUGUAUAAUGGGUCAGCGACUUAUAUUCUGUAGCAAGGUUAACCGAAUAGGGGAGCCGGAGGGAAACCGAGUCUUAAUUGGGCGUUAAGUUGCAGGGUAUAGACCCGAAACCCGGUGAUCUAGCCAUGGGCAGGUUGAAGGUUGGGUAACACUAACUGGAGGACCGAACCGACUAAUGUUGAAAAAUUAGCGGAUGACCUGUGGCUGGGGGUGAAAGGCCAAUCAAACCGGGAGAUAGCUGGUUCUCCCCGAAAGCUAUUUAGGUAGCGCCUCGUGAAUUCAUCUCCGGGGGUAGAGCACUGUUUCGGCUAGGGGGCCAUCCCGGCUUACCAACCCGAUGCAAACUGCGAAUACCGGAGAAUGUUAUCACGGGAGACACACGGCGGGUGCUAACGUCCGUCGUGAAGAGGGAAACAACCCAGACCGCCAGCUAAGGUCCCAAAGUCAUGGUUAAGUGGGAAACGAUGUGGGAAGGCCCAGACAGCCAGGAUGUUGGCUUAGAAGCAGCCAUCAUUUAAAGAAAGCGUAAUAGCUCACUGGUCGAGUCGGCCUGCGCGGAAGAUGUAACGGGGCUAAACCAUGCACCGAAGCUGCGGCAGCGACACUGUGUGUUGUUGGGUAGGGGAGCGUUCUGUAAGCCUGUGAAGGUGUGUCGUGAGGCAUGCUGGAGGUAUCAGAAGUGCGAAUGCUGACAUAAGUAACGAUAAAGCGGGUGAAAAGCCCGCUCGCCGGAAGACCAAGGGUUCCUGUCCAACGUUAAUCGGGGCAGGGUGAGUCGACCCCUAAGGCGAGGCCGAAAGGCGUAGUCGAUGGGAAACAGGUUAAUAUUCCUGUACUUGGUGUUACUGCGAAGGGGGGACGGAGAAGGCUAUGUUGGCCGGGCGACGGUUGUCCCGGUUUAAGCGUGUAGGUGUGUGUUCCAGGUAAAUCCGGUUCACUUUAACACUGAGGCGUGAUGACGAGGCACUACGGUGCUGAAGCAACAAAUGCCCUGCUUCCAGGAAAAGCCUCUAAGCAUCAGGUAACAUCAAAUCGUACCCCAAACCGACACAGGUGGUCAGGUAGAGAAUACCAAGGCGCUUGAGAGAACUCGGGUGAAGGAACUAGGCAAAAUGGUGCCGUAACUUCGGGAGAAGGCACGCUGACACGUAGGUGAAGUGAUUUACUCAUGGAGCUGAAGUCAGUCGAAGAUACCAGCUGGCUGCAACUGUUUAUUAAAAACACAGCACUGUGCAAACACGAAAGUGGACGUAUACGGUGUGACGCCUGCCCGGUGCCGGAAGGUUAAUUGAUGGGGUCAGCGCAAGCGAAGCUCCUGAUCGAAGCCCCGGUAAACGGCGGCCGUAACUAUAACGGUCCUAAGGUAGCGAAAUUCCUUGUCGGGUAAGUUCCGACCUGCACGAAUGGCGUAAUGAUGGCCAGGCUGUCUCCACCCGAGACUCAGUGAAAUUGAACUCGCUGUGAAGAUGCAGUGUACCCGCGGCAAGACGGAAAGACCCCGUGAACCUUUACUAUAGCUUGACACUGAACAUUGAGCCUUGAUGUGUAGGAUAGGUGGGAGGCUUUGAAGCGUGGACGCCAGUCUGCGUGGAGCCGACCUUGAAAUACCACCCUUUAAUGUUUGAUGUUCUAACGUGGACCCGUAAUCCGGGUUGCGGACAGUGUCUGGUGGGUAGUUUGACUGGGGCGGUCUCCUCCUAAAGAGUAACGGAGGAGCACGAAGGUUGGCUAAUCCUGGUCGGACAUCAGGAGGUUAGUGCAAUGGCAUAAGCCAGCUUGACUGCGAGCGUGACGGCGCGAGCAGGUGCGAAAGCAGGUCAUAGUGAUCCGGUGGUUCUGAAUGGAAGGGCCAUCGCUCAACGGAUAAAAGGUACUCCGGGGAUAACAGGCUGAUACCGCCCAAGAGUUCAUAUCGACGGCGGUGUUUGGCACCUCGAUGUCGGCUCAUCACAUCCUGGGGCUGAAGUAGGUCCCAAGGGUAUGGCUGUUCGCCAUUUAAAGUGGUACGCGAGCUGGGUUUAGAACGUCGUGAGACAGUUCGGUCCCUAUCUGCCGUGGGCGCUGGAGAACUGAGGGGGGCUGCUCCUAGUACGAGAGGACCGGAGUGGACGCAUCACUGGUGUUCGGGUUGUCAUGCCAAUGGCACUGCCCGGUAGCUAAAUGCGGAAGAGAUAAGUGCUGAAAGCAUCUAAGCACGAAACUUGCCCCGAGAUGAGUUCUCCCUGAGACUUAGAGUCUCCUGAAGGAACGUUGAAGACGACGACGUUGAUAGGCCGGGUGUGUAAGCGCAGCGAUGCGUUGAGCUAACCGGUACUAAUGAACCGUGAGGCUUAACCUUACAACGCCGAAGCUGUU
rnacentral:rRNA from 11 species